AAAAAGAAAAGAUGUAUGUGAUGAUGGUUAGCAGCCACUAACUUCAUCGAGUUAACUCCAAUUUCCGUACAACUACGCAAAAGGCUUACGACAUCCAGGCUCGUUUAAACCACUUUGAGCUCGAACAAGUGAACAACAGCCAAAAGUUCCGCUCCUCUGGCUAUUAUCCAUCGGCCAUCUCCCUGGAAAGAGGCCCAUUCGAAAUCAACUUAGCUGUCUAUACUAUUGAUGAGCAUCCAGCACCUAUGCCCAUUGCCCAACUACUACGAGUGCCAACUCUCCAGCAGCCGCGACACUUGAUUGGUACAAUCUUCGACCACCACUUAUCUAUCUGCUGCCCACUCUUCUCACUUAAGAAGAAAGAAAAGGAGCAUCAAGCAUACCUCGAUCGCAGCGAUGACUGAGUACUAACAGAGCAGUUUAAGAGCUAUACUGCUUAUUAUUUCGGCGUGUGGCGUACCGUCCAUCAUUUUUUAUGGGUGGUGGCGAUUUCUUGGUGACGACGAGGUUAUCAUGAUUUGACGAGGAUGAUAUUGCGAAGGAAUCUGUCGGCUGUCACUAGGUGGCUAAAAUAUGUCCACCAGGUAGCGCAGUGUCUCCGUGACUCAUCAUCAGCGACGAAAUUUCCGCCAUUGUCUAUUUGUUUCCAAGUCACUAAGCGGAAAUGUGUUACUUCUCACCAUGCCGUGUGUUUCUACAUUGUCCAACAAGUUAAAAAAAUAAGUGUUCUAUUCUGUUUUGGCUUUCUUAAGGCUUUAAUUACUGAAUGUGUUUUUAUGUGUUCAUUUUCAGGUAUAAUCUAUCCUUUAAUUUACACUUGGCCAAAUCAUCUGAUCGCGUGGCCUGAAAGGCUGAAACUUCUGUCAUGCUUCUGUGUAUUUCUCAUAGCCUUCUACAGGUACGGCCACUUAACUGCCACUUAACUGCCACUUAACUGCCACUUAACUGUAGAAGGCUAUGGUAUUUCUUCGAAAUUUCGUCUGUUACUAGGAAUGGCCGAAUGGCUGUACGUCUCAUCCCAUAUGGAAACAAG